rnacentral:rRNA from 1 species
GUAGGUGGCAAGCGUUGUCCGGAAUUAUUGGGCGUAAAGCGCGCGCAGGCGGUCCUUUAAGUCUGAUGUGAAAGCCCACGGCUCAACCGUGGAGGGUCAUUGGAAACUGGGGGACUUGAGUACAGAAGAGGAAAGCGGAAUUCCAAGUGUAGCGGUGAAAUGCGUAGAGAUUUGGAGGAACACCAGUGGCGAAGGCGGCUUUCUGGUCUGUAACUGACGCUGAGGCGCGAAAGCGUGGGGAGCAAACAGGGAUUAGAUACCCUGGUAGUCCACGCCGUAAACGAUGAGUGCUACGUGUUAGGGGGGUUUCCGCCCCCUUAGUGCUGCAGCUAACGCAUUAAGCACUCCGCCUGGGGAUACGGCCGCAAGGCUG